rnacentral:lncRNA from 1 species
AUUGAAACAAUAUUCAACUACACUACAAAGAGAGGAUAUAAAACCAUUGUGAUGUUGUUGUAAAACAUAGCGUUUGCCUUGAGAAUGCACCAAGCACCUAAUUGUAGAAGAUAAAAAGAAAAUUACAACAACAAGUCCUAACAACUCUAAUAGAUUCUUAAAAAAAUUACAAUUAAAGAUUAGCAAUUAUAAUCAAACAUCAAUCAAAUUCAAUCAAAAUUAUAAAAUAAUUAUAUAAGAAAUACAAAGUAUUCCUAAAGACCUUUUAAAGAAAUCAUAAAGAAAUAACAUAAGAAUUCAAAAAUAUACUAAAAUAGAAAUCUUAAUAAAAUAUUAAAAUAGAAACUUUAAUUAAAUCCUAAUCAAAUCCUAAUCAAAUCCUAAUCAAAUCCUAACCAAAUUUUAACCAAAUCCUAGUCAAAUCCUAACGAAAUCCUAGUCAAAUCUAAAUAAAUCCUAAUAAAAUCUUAAACAAAUUCCAGUCAACUCUAAAUAAAUUCUAAUCAAAUUCUAAAAAAAUCUUAGUCAAAUCUUAAUCAAAUCCUAACCAAAUCCUAAUCAAAUCCUAACAAAAUCCUAACCAAAUCUUAGUCAAUCCUAAAUAAAUCUUAAUCAAAUUGAAAACAAAUUCAAAUCAAAUCAAAGUCAUAUCCUAGUCAAAUCCUAACCAAAUACUAUUCAAAUCCUAAUCAAAUCCUAAUCAAUCAUAAAUAAAUCCUAAUCAAUCUUAAAUAAAUCUUAGUCAAAUCCUAAACAAAUCCUAACCAAAUCCUAAUCAAAUCCUAAUAAAUCCUAAUCAAACCCUAAAUAAAUCUAAAAAAAUCCUAACCAAAUUCUAAUCAAUCUUAAAUAAAUCCUAAUCAAUUCUAAAUAAAUCCUAGUCAAACCCUAAACAAAUCUUAACCAAAUCUUAAUCAAAUCCUAAUAAAUUUUAAUCAAAGCCUAAACAAACGUAAAAAAAUCCUAACCAAAUCCUAAUCAAAUCCUAAUCAAACCUUAGUCAAACUCUAACCAAAUUCUAAUCAAAUUCUAACCAAAUGCUAUUCAAUUCUAAAUAAAUCCUAAUUAAAUCCUAAAAAAAUCCUAAUCAAAUCCUUAUCAAACCCUAGUCAAUUUUAAAUAAAUCUUAGUCAAAUCUUUAAAAAAUCCUAAUCAAAUCCUAAAAAAUCUAAAUAAAUUCUAAUCAAACCGUAAUCAAAUCCUAACCAAAUUAUAACCAAAUCCUUGUCAAAUUCUAAUCAAAUCCUAAUCAAAUCCUAAUCAAAUCCUAACCAAAUCCUAAAUAAAUCCUAACCAAUUUUUAACCAAACUCUAAUCAAAUCUUAUACAAUCUAAAAUAAAUCCUAAUCAAAUCCUAAACAAAUCCUAACCAAAUCCUAACCAAAUCCUAGUUAAAUCCUAAUGAAAUUUAAAUCAGUUCUAAAUAAAUCUUAGUCAACUCUAAAUAAAUCUUAAUCAAAUUCUAAACAAAUCUUAAUCAAAUCCUAGUCAAAUCCUAAACAAACUUAAAUAAAUCUUAAC